rnacentral:lncRNA from 1 species
GCCUGGCCCGCGACGCACCGAGGCCUGAGGACCCGAAAGCCGGGCGCGGGGAGAUGACCGGUGGCUCGUGACGGUCCCACGGGCAAAAUCUUCCAUCGCCCGGGGCUGAGACUUGUCAAACUGCCCUCUACGGUCACCCGGAAAGUAGGAGGCUUUUUCUGCAGAGGGGAAAAAAAUCAAAAAGAGCCGUUCCAUCCCCCCUCCAAGGACUGGGUUUGAAUUGCUUUUCAUCUGCAGUGGCUGUGAUUCAGCGUCCCUCUUAGCAGCAGGCAAUGACAGAGGCAGGAGAGGGGAAAAAAAAAAAGAAAGAAAGAAAAAACACAGCAAAUGAAUCAAACGGACGUAGCAGGCAAGAGUGUGGUUAUCGUUGGACCAGGAUUCAGGAUCUGACUGAGUAGCUGACUCUUAAUCCAGUUUGUGUUGAUCACCAGGAGGAUCUGGACCUCAGUAUUACCACAUCUAGAGAAAACAACUUGAGAGGAUGGAUUCAGAAAAGAGGCAGAUCCAAGGGAGAGUCUAAACUGGAGAGCAGUGGCAAUGAACAGGAGGAGGCCAUAUCGAGAGAUGAAUUGAUCAUCUUAUAGACCUGGAGGUCAGAAAUCUAAAAUCAAAGUGUGGGCUGUGUUCCUUCUGGAGGAUCGAGGGGAGAAUCCAUUUCCUUGCCCUUUUCAGCCUCUAGAUGCCACCUGCAUUCCUUGGCUUAUAGUCCCUUUCUCUAUGUUUAAGGCCAACUGCAUAGCAUCUUCCCCCAUUUCUUUGUAACUUCUGCUUCAUGGUGAUGGGGACAUCUCUCUCUCUGAUCGUAGGAAUUGAUUUAGAUGCUUUUCUAGCCAUAUGUAUUAUGAACUAAAUGCAGUUGAAUUACUUAUGGGAGGAAAUGGCAGGUGACCUCAUUACUUGUCAAAUCAUCGUUAGAUAACUGACUUGACUGUUAAGAUUGCUGAAGCAGUGAUUUAUUACCUCAGCUAAAUCUGUAUCAAUCUGGUGACCCGUGUAACUGAAACCAAGAUGUUAACACUGUAAGAAAACCUAGCUUAUGUUUGCAGCUCCUGAGAAUAAAUCCCUUUAUCUUGAAAUACCUGGAAAUCCCUUUUUAAUGUCCAGUGGAGUCAUAU